AUACAGGGCCAUCCCACCCUGAAUGUAUUCAAUCUCUCUAGAUCUCAGAAGCUAAGCAGGGCCAGGCCUGGCUACUACAGGAGCUCCUCAGCUUACAGGUAUUCUUUCCU
ensembl:rRNA 5S_rRNA 5S ribosomal RNA